UCCCCACUUCUAAACACUUUAAAAAUAACUAUUCUAACUUCCUAAACCAUUUAAAAAAAAACUUCCGUCACUUCCAUUCCAACUUCCGAAGCUCAACUUCCUCCAACUCCAACAAGGUAAAAUCUUUUCCAUUCUUCCCUAAUCUAUAUUCCAUAAUCUAUAUUCCGCCUUAAUCGUUAUCAGGCCAACUCCGGUGAUUUCAGUACCGGCGCAGGUGGGUGCUCGUGUUUUAAAUUCUGGAAUCGCCACAGCACCGACGAGGUCGAUCCGACCUCGCCGGUGGAUGCUGGGCGAGUUCCCAGCACCCAUGCGUCAUCCUAUGCACCCAUGCGUUAAAUUUCCAGAACCGGCGAGGUCGAUUCGACCUCGCCGGUGGGUGCUGGGCGAGUUCCCAGCACCCAUGCGUCGUC
rnacentral:lncRNA from 1 species